rnacentral:tRNA from 1 species
CAUCAAGAAGCUUCCAAUAGCACUAGCCUUUUAAGCUAGAGACGGAGCUAACCACUCCCUUGAUGACA